AAAAGAUGUUGUACACAUCAUAGUAUAGAUCUUAUAGUGUGACAAGCAUCUACUAUCACAUAUUUGGAUCAUUUCCCAGAAAACGGAGGGUUGGAAUAAUAAAAUUUUUAUUUCUUUUGCAGAUGGAGCCCAAACAUCAGAUGUUUGUUUGUCUUUCAGAGUUCUUAAAAGAAUGUGAUGCUUCAAAAUGCUGAUGGGACAGGCCUGACUCCAGAUGGCCCUGGGAAAAUCUAUGGGGCCAAAAGGACAGAGUACUGCAAGCCACGCCCAGAGAAGUAGCAGGGGAGCCCAGAGGAAGGCUGUCUCCGGAUGUAUUUUCCAUAACUUAGCACUUGUGUUCUGCACCGCUUGGUCUGGGUCGAGAUUGUGCUCUGUGAGAGAGGUCUUCAGGGUUCAUCAAUUUCACAGAAAAUGAUUAUACUGGACAAGUGAGAAAGCUCACAGGAACUAGCGAACAGAGCAGAAAAACCAAAGUUAGAAGAACCAAAGGUCGACCCAUCAACAGACUUGAGGAAUGAGUGGGCAGAUCCGGCAGGCCAAUGGUGAGAGGCCCUGGACAGCUGGGCACUGGCCAAGAGUCAGAAUCAAUGAAAGGCACAGAGGCAGCUUCAGGCCAGAGCUGAGAGAAGCAGAAGGUGCAAAGGCACUUCGUGUUUAGACAGAAAGCAGAGCAGCCAAUGACUGAAGGAGCUAUUCUUCAUUUUCAAAGGUGAAGACUCACCAUACGUAUGUGGUGGUUGAAAACAAAUUACAGCACCAUGAAAUAUAUGUGCAUUAUGAAAGAUUCAGUAUCUUUGUGCUCAGAAUUGGAGCUGCAGUGUAAUCAUCAUUUCAGUAGAAGAAUUUCCUGCAAUAAUCCCCUGGCCCUGAGCUGCUGGCCCACCCAGCUUCUGGUGAAGCUUUGAGUUGUCAUAGCAACCACUACCUGAGCUUUGACAUCCAUUCCUGCUGACUAGGGAUUCAGACUCAAAUGGUUUGAUUAUUUUUAAAACAUAAAUUGACAGUGUAGUGAAACCUGGUUUAAACUGGUACAAUCUGUGCAAUAAUUGCUCCAGAAUACCCCCCUCACACACAGACACACUAGGUUGAAAAAGACAAUGUUUUAUUUUUUGCAAGAGCCAUGUUUUAAAAAAUUAUUAUUCAUGUGCUUCCUCACUUACUCCUGAACACACUGUUCUCUGAAAGCGAACUGGGGAUAUGGGAAUCUGGUGCUCACUGUGACGUGCAGGUGCACGAUCUCACCAUGGGGGCCGUCAGGCUACACCUGGGUAGUAGGUGUCUCUGUCACAGUGGAAGCUAGCCCCAUCACCCCUUCCACAAGGUCCCAGGCCAAGUUCACUUAGAGACUGUGUCAUGUGCUGAGUCUUCUGUCACUGCACAGCUCAGGGUGCUGCGUCUGGGAGCCAGUUGUCUAGGGAGGGCUCGCUGGGUGCACCACUGAGUUAGCUGACUUCACUCCUGCUGCAUAGGCUCUU
rnacentral:lncRNA from 1 species